UAUGUGACCCUGUGAAUAUGAGCAAUAAUUCUUUGCCUCCCUCAGCAGUUAUUAUUUCAUUUUAGGUGGAGAUUAAACACUUGUGAGUUUUAAUACAUCAAGAAAACAAGCAUGGAGAAGUCUGGGAGUCCCUGGAUCUGGCCAGUCUGGGAGUUGAGUCUAUGCUGUAUUUACUACCAGCUAAAUAAAAGUCAAUGGCCCAUGGAGCAAGCAGUGACCUUCAUGAUUCUGCCCAGUGUCUGCGUGCUUGCGUGACAGCUGCUGCCUUUUCGUCUACUUCUGUUGAAAUCUGAGCAUGAGCAAAAUUCUCAUAUUCCUAGAGGAGUCUGCCUGGAGAUUAAACAAGCUAAAAAGAAUGACUGUGAGCUCCACCCUAUCCCCACCCCAGACUGAAUCUGCUGUGUCAACCCAGUGAAGUUCUGGGCCCCAGAUUUCAUAUGCAAGACCUCCCUACACUGCAAGGAAUGCAUGGGUUUCUCUGCGUGAAACUAUGCCUAUAGUUAGCCUAUCCUGUUUGUCAUCUCCACAUACUAGACUUCAUCCAAACUGCUUUUCCCAAGAGAAAGGAAAUUAGAGAUGACUACAAUUUUAUGAGCUUUGAAAGUGUAUGUGAAUGAGCUACACGGAAACCAUGCCAGCUGUAGCUGCCAGUCAAUUCAUCAUUGAGGCCCUGGGGAGGAAUUUGCAAUCCGUGGGGCCCAGCCCAGCUGUGGCUGAGAUAAGGACUCAUCCUGUGGCUACACCACAUUUGGGUGUGAACUUGGAAUUUUGAAAAUGAAUACAGCACAAAGGCAAUUACAGAUCCUUGAGG